rnacentral:rRNA from 1 species
AUCCUACGGGAGGCAGCAGUGAGGAAUAUUGGUCAAUGGUCGGGAGACUGAACCAGCCAAGCCGCGUGAGGGAUGAAGGUACAGAGUAUCGUAAACCUCUUUUGUCAGGGAACAAGGGCGGGGACGUGUCCCCGGAUGAGUGUACCUGAAGAAAAAGCAUCGGCUAACUCCGUGCCAGCAGCCGCGGUAAUACGGAGGAUGCGAGCGUUAUCCGGAUUUAUUGGGUUUAAAGGGUGCGCAGGCGGUCUGUUAAGUCAGCGGUCAAAGCCCGGGGCUCACCCCCGGCCCGCCGUUGCAACUGGCAG